rnacentral:tRNA from 1 species
ACUUAAAUAGCUUAUUUAGAGCAUAAUAUUGAAGAUAUUAGGGAAACUUUAUGUUUUUAAGUA